AGAUUUGAAACAGGGGAGUUCAUAGAGUGAGCUGAGAGGAAACGGUAGCAGUUUCGACCCUUAGAACCUGAUUUGGGUAAUGCCAACGUAGGAAUUCAAGCAAAACGGAU
rfam:Catabacter hongkongensis strain HKT16 2806ref_2ab_c16, whole genome shotgun sequence.